rnacentral:lncRNA from 1 species
AUGCAGACAGGGUUAAAAAUUUCCAGCCUGAAGUCCUGUGGCCACAAUCUAUUUCAACUGACCUAUCCUUUACCCAGGAAAUUCCUUUUUCUUUUUCAUUACAAAACAGUGAUAUUCUCCAAGACAAAGUCUAUUACACAAUAUAAUUUAUUUAUUUAUUUUUUUCAUCUUUCUCCUUCUCCAUCUUUCCCUUCUCAAAUUCCUAAAGAAGAGAGGACUUUCAGAAGUGGGGAUAUUAGCAAGACUCCUAAGAUCUCUAGGCUACUAUUUUCCAUUUUCUUCAGCAGCUGUUACUACUUCCAGAUGAGAGAAAUUAAUUUUGGAUAUACUUCAACCAUCAAAGAAGCUGUGAGUCUAUACAGGUAUCUCUAUAAGAAUUAACCUCAGCUGCCACGUGCACUUUGGAAGCGCAAGGCACAACAGAGGACGGUACAGAGAGCUCUAUCUGAAAGCAGAAGGGGAAUAAAAGCUUGAAAGAUGUUGAAAUAUUUUGUGGC